ensembl:lncRNA novel transcript, antisense to PTPRQ
GUAAAAUAAUUUGCAUGACUGUAAUGUUUCAAGCUGUAGUUGAUUGAAUCCACGGAUGCAGAACACAUGGAUUUGGAGGGCCAACUGUAGUGUUUUGGAUGAUGAUCAGAGUUGCGGAGAAAAAGAAGAAUGAGAAGAAGGAGAGUUUCAGGGAUAUUGAAAAUUUAAAUUAGAUAUCCCUCAAGAUUCCCGGUCCCUGUACAAAAACAGAUUCUUCCACUUACUCAACCAAACACUGAUCUAGGUACAGAUGGAAAGCUAUGUUGCUGCUGUAACUAAGAAUCUUAAUCAGUUUACUUUAAAAUAGAGAGCUAUCCAGUGGACCUGACCUUAUAACCUGAGCCCUCUAAAAGGAGGAUAGUAUUUUUGGCCGUUUUCAGAAAAGGAAGUCAAAGCUUUAAAGAGAUGGAUUCAACGUACAAAAAUUUCUCUAUUGUUGGCUCUCAAGAAGGAGGGAGCUGCAUGAUAAGGAACACAGAACAUCUUUGGGAGCUGAGAGAAGCCCUUAGCUAAAAGCCAGCCAGGGAAGGGGCUCUCAAUCCUGUGACUGCAAGGAACUAAAUUCUACCACAACCACGUGAACCUGAAAGAGGACCCUGAGUUACACAAGAAAAUGUUGACUGACAAGUUGACUUCAGCUUGUGAGAAUAAGUAGAAAACCUAGGCACAACACGCCUGGACUUCUGACCUAUAGAACUAUGAGCUAAUAAAUGGGUAUUGUUUUAAGCCACUAA